rnacentral:rRNA from 1 species
GAAUAUUGGACAAUGGGCGCAAGCCUGAUCCAGCAAUACCGCGUGUGUGAAGAAGGCCUGAGGGUUGUAAAGCACUUUCAAUUGGGAGGAAAACCUGUCGGUUAAUACCCGGCAGCUUGACAUUACCUUUAGAAGAAGCACCGGCUAACUCCGUGCCAGCAGCCGCGGUAAUACGGAGGGUGCGAGCGUUAAUCGGAAUUACUGGGCGUAAAGCGUGCGUAGGCGGUUGUCUAAGUCAGAUGUGAAAGCCCCGGGCUUAACCUGGGAACUGCAUUUGAUACUGGAUGACUAGAGUUUAAUAGAGGAGAGUGGAAUUUCAGGUGUAGCGGUGAAAUGCGUAGAGAUCUGAAGGAACACCAGUGGCGAAGGCGACUCUCUGGAUUAAAACUGACGCUGAGGUACGAAAGCGUGGGUAGCAAACAG